GUGAGAACGAGUCCUGUUGCUCCCUAGCUGUGUGACUUGAUGCAAUUUCUUAACGUCUCUGAGCUGGCUUCCUCGUGUGUCCUUUGAGGACGACACCCACCUCACACCUGGCUGAGAACUGUACCAAAACUUGUGAGUCAAGUGCUCAGAGUGGCCUGACACACAGAAACUGCCCCAUACAUAGGAGCUCUUUUUAUUAGGUUUCUAGAGGCCGAGUGCCCUUUGUCCAGCCCUCCUGGGCCACAAGACUGCUCCCGUGUCACAGCCAGCCCCACCCAAUGCCGACUGCGCCCACAGGAGGCAAAUAAAACCUUCCAGCUGAGCUCACAGGACCACAGGGUCAAUUAGCCCAAGGAGUGUUCCCUCUGGCUGACUGGGGACGGGUGACAUCUGGAAAGGGAGGGCCAGAGAUGCAAAGGUAGGGUGGGAGCUGUUGGGGAUGUAGGUCCAGCUUUAACCAGUCCCCAAGGAGGAAGAAGCCCGGGGAUGCCUACCGGGAACUGUCGGCCGCGUCGGGGAGCGAGGCUGCCUGUGGAAAUGCCGAAAUGUCUGGAGGAAACAGAAGUCAGAUACGAGGCAUGAGACCCCCCAUCCCAUUGUCCCUGAGGACACGGCGCUUACAAACCCAGCGCAGGCGGGGAAGACGGUGCGCCCCCGGCAGCCGCUCCCACACUGCACCCGUGCUCGCCGGCCACUUCCGACCACAGCGCAUCACGCAGCCGCCCCGGCACUUGAUUUUGCCCACAUAGCUCUGUCGGGGAAGGGACUCCAGGCGGGAGAGGAGGCUAAGACGUCUCAGGUACUGUCAUCAGCCUGCGGCCCAACUGCCCCCUACAAGACAAAGAGCCUCCCCAUCGGCCAGCAAACCUCCCUCACCUCCCUCCAGGGCUUCCUCCAAGGCUACUCCUGAAGCUUUCUCAACAUCUCUGGGAUGUCACAGACUCCAAGAGCCUGAUAGAGGCCGUAGGCCUUCUUAUCAGAGAAAUGCACACAUGCACCCAACAUCCUGUGCAUGAUUUCUGGGGGAAUCCGAGCCCCCAGAGGCUUCUGCUGAGGCUCCUCCAGACCUUGCUGUGCUGUGUCUGCAGACUCUCAAGGGUGGCCUGAUGGUUCUGCCCACCCAACACUGCUCACAUGUUUCCACAGAAUAAAAUCACGUGUGUGGGGGAUGGGGGGACGUCAGGAGGAUGCAGUUGGGGAGAAAUAGCACCCCAAGUUGGGGUAAAGCAAAAUGUCUCUGAAGCUUCAUACUUCUUAAACAUUAAGAGUAUAUUUUACAGCUGACUCACUUUGCUGUGUAGCAGAAAUUGACAUAACAUUGUAAAUCAACUAUAACAAAACAAUUUUUAAAAAAAGAGAGUAUAUUUUGCAUUCUGCUCCAAA